UUUCCGUAGGUGAACCUGCGGAAGGUUCAUUACUGAGUGAGGGCCCCUCGGGGUCCAACCUCCCACCCGUGUUUAACGAACCUUGUUGCUUCGGCGGGCCCGCCUCACGGCCGCCGGGGGGCAUCUGCCCCCGGGCCCGCGCCCGCCGAAGCCACCUGUGAACGCUGUCUGAAGUAUGCAGUCUGAGACAAUUAUUAAAUUAAUUAAAACUUUCAACAACGGAUCUCUUGGUUCCG
rnacentral:misc_RNA from 1 species